rnacentral:rRNA from 1 species
UACGUAGGGUGCAAGCGUUGUCCGGAAUUAUUGGGCGUAAAGAGCUCGUAGGCGGUCUGUCGCGUCUGCUGUGAAAACUCAGGGCUUAACCCUGAGCUUGCAGUGGGUACGGGCAGACUAGAGUGUGGUAGGGGAGACUGGAAUUCCUGGUGUAGCGGUGGAAUGCGCAGAUAUCAGGAGGAACACCGAUGGCGAAGGCAGGUCUCUGGGCCACUACUGACGCUGAGAAGCGAAAGCAUGGGGAGCGAACAGG